GUGGGGAAUUUUGGACAAUGGGGGCAACCCUGAUCCAGCCAUGCCGCGUGCGGGAAGAAGGCCUUCGGGUUGUAAACCGCUUUUGUCAGGGAAGAAAUCCUUUGGGUUAAUACCUCGGAGGGAUGACGGUACCUGAAGAAUAAGCACCGGCUAACUACGUGCCAGCAGCCGCGGUAAUACGUAGGGUGCGAGCGUUAAUCGGAAUUACUGGGCGUAAAGCGUGCGCAGGCGGUGCUGUAAGACAGGCGUGAAAUCCCCGGGCUUAACCUGGGAAUUGCGCUUGUGACUGCAGUGCUGGAGUACGGCAGAGGGGGAUGGAAUUCCGCGUGUAGCAGUGAAAUGCGUAGAUAUGCGGAGGAACACCGAUGGCGAAGGCAGUCCCCUGGGCCUGUACUGACGCUCAUGCACGAAAGCGUGGGGAGCAAACAGGAUUAGAUACCCGUGUAGUCC
rnacentral:rRNA from 1 species